GGGAACAUAGCUCAAUGGCGGAGCAAUCGGCUGUUAACCGAUCGGCUGUAGGUUCGAGUCCUACUGUUCCCGCCA
rnacentral:tRNA from 1 species